AACCAAAGAUAGCUCAAAAUAUAUCAAAUAAUAUUAUCCUACAAUAUUAAAAUAAAACAUUCACAGAAAUAAAAGUAUAGGUGAUAGAAAUUUUACUUGACGCUAUAGAGAAAGUACCGCAAGGGAAAAAAAUGAAAGAAAGUUUAUAAGUAAAAAAAAGCAAAGUUUAACUCUUGUACCUUUUGCAUAAUGAUUCAACUAGAAGAUAUUAGCAAAAAGAACUUAAGUUAACACCCCGAAACUAGACGAGCUACCCGCUAGCAGCCCAAAGAGCAAACUCAUCUAUGUGGCAAAAUAGUGAGAAGACUGACGGGUAGUGGCAAUAAACCUAUCGAGCCUAGUGAUAGCUGGUUGUCCAGAACGGAAUUUUAGUUCUAACUUAAGCCUACCAUAAAAAAAAACAAAUUUAAAUGUAAGCUUAAAUAAUAAUCUAAAAGGGGACAGCUUUUUAGAUACGGGAUACAACCCCUGUUAGUGAGUAAACAAAAACUAGUGAUACUCUAGUUGGCUUAAAAGCAGCCAUCAAACAAGAUAGCGUUCAAGCUCAAUAGUACACAAAAACUAAUUUCAACUAUUAUCAAUUAUACUCCUAAUAUAAAACUGGACUAUUCUAUUUUUUAAUAGAAGCAAUAAUGUUGAUAUCAGUAACAAGAAACAUUUCUCCCUGCAUACGUGUAUAUCAGAACGAAUAAAUCACUGAUAAUUAACAAAUAUAAACACAACCACUUAAUUAAAAAAAAAUAAUAUAAUUGUUAGCCCAACACAGGUGUGCAACUAAGGAAAGAUUAAAAAAAGUAAAAGGAACUCGGCAAACAUAAACCCCGCCUGUUUACCAAAAACAUCACCUCUAGCAUAAAAAGUAUUAGAGGCACUGCCUGCCCAGUGACUUUAGUUUCAACGGCCGCGGUAUCCUGACCGUGCAAAGGUAGCAUAAUCACUUGUUCUCUAAAUAAGGACUUGUAUGAAUGGCUCCACGAGGGUUUUACUGUCUCUUACUUUUAAUCAGUGAAAUUGACCUUCACGUGAAGAGGCGUGAAUUAAAAAAUAAGACGAGAAGACCCUAUGGAGCUUUAAUUAACCAGCUCACAAAGUACAACCAUAUUCUAAUAGAAAUUAAACCUAUUUUAAUUGAGCUGAUAAUUUAGGUUGGGGUGACCUCGGAAUAAAAAUUAACUCCCGAGAAAAUUUUAACUAAGACAAACAAGUCAAAAUUAUCCCAUUAUAUAUUGAUCCGCUAAGUCUUUAAACGAUCAACGAAACAAGUUACCCUAGGGAUAACAGCGCAAUCCUAUUCAAGAGUCCAUAUCGACAAUUAGGGUUUACGACCUCGAUGUUGGAUCAGGACAUCCCAAUGGUGCAGCCGCUAUUAAUGUGUUCGUUUGUUCAACGAUUAAAGUCCUACGUGAUCUGAGUUCAGACCGGAGUAAUCCAGGUCGGUUUCUAUCUAUUUUAAGCGUCUCUCCCAGUACGAAAGGACAAGAGAGACAGGGCCCACUUAAAAUAAGCGCCCUAUUUUACUUAGAUGAGUUAAUCUCAAUCUUACAAUAUAUAUAUACAUAUUACCCAAGAGCAGGGUUCA
rnacentral:rRNA from 1 species